rnacentral:rRNA from 1 species
AUUGAACGCUGGCGGCAGGCCUAACACAUGCAAGUCGAACGAGUGGCGGACGGGUGAGUAAUGUCUGGGAAACUGCCCGAUGGAGGGGGAUAACUACUGGAAACGGUAGCUAAUACCGCAUACCAUCGGAUGUGCCCAGAUGGGAUUAGCUAGUAGGUGGGGUAACGGCUCACCUAGGCGACGAUCCCUAGAUGGUCUGAGAGGGUGACCGGCCACACUGGAACUGAGACACGGUCCAGACUCCUACGGGAGGCAGCAGUGGGGAAUAUUGCACAAUGGGCGCAAUCCUGAUGCAGCCAUGCCGCGGGUAUGAAGAAGGCCUUCGGGUUGUAAAGUACUUUCAGCUGGGAGGCGUUACCCGCAGAAGAAGCACCGGCUAACUCCGUGCCAGCAGCCGCGGUAAUUC